CUGCCCAGUGACCCAGUUCAACGGCCGCGGUAUCCUAACCGUGCAAAGGUAGCAUAAUCACUUGCCUAUUAAUUGUAGGCUAGAAUGAACGGAUAAACGAAAUAAAGGCUGUCUCAGCCAGCAAGCUAAAAAUUAUCAUCUAUAUGAAGAGAUAUAGAUCACAUCGAAGGACAAGAAGACCCUAUAGAGCUUUAUUUUAAAUGUGUAAAAUUCACAUAAAAAUUCGGUUGGGGCGACCAAGGGUAUUACAAAACACCCUAAAAUAAUAAGAUUAAUAAAUCUACUAAUUGACCCUUAAUAAGAUCAAAAAAUCAAGCUACCUUAGGGAUAACAGGCUAAUCCUAUUUAAGAGUUCAUAUCUACAAUAGGGUUUGGCACCUCGAUGUUGGCUUAGGGUAUCAGUAUAGCGCAAAAGUUAUAUAAAGAUGGUUUGUUCAACCAAUAAUUCCCU
rnacentral:rRNA from 1 species